rnacentral:misc_RNA from 1 species
UCCGGUUUAACACCGGCAGUCUCCAUAGAGUGCCCAACUAAAUGAUGGCAACUAGGGAUAGGGGUUGCGCUCGUUAAGGGACUUAACCCGACAUCUCACGAUACGAGCUGACGACAGCCAUGCAGCACCUGUCUCCCGGCCCCCGAAGGGGAAGAUCUAUCUCUAGACCGGUCCGAGGAUGUCAAGUCCAGGUAAGGUUCUUCGCGUUGCAUCGAAUUAAACCACAUGCUCCACCGCUUGUGCGGGCCCCCGUCAAUUCCUUUGAGUUUUAAUCUUGCGACCGUACUUCCCAGGCGGGGUACUUAAUGCGUUAGCGUCGACACUGCAGGGGUCAAUUCCCGCAACAUCUAGUACCCAUCGUUUACGGCGUGGACUAC